UGGAUGAUGGAGGAAACGAGGAGUGGACGGAGAUGCGAUAUGAUAGCGAUGAUUCAGGGUACGAAUCAGGGAACACGAGGUCGCUGAGUACGUUAUCGCUAGGAUCAUUGCUAUCAAUAGGAUCCCCGUGGCUUUCCACAUCAACGGAGGAAUCCUUUGGAAGAAAUGAAAGAGGUAGAAAUCAAUGGAUAAUAGCACAAAUUCGACUGCUUGUCGUAAUUACAUGCAGGAGAAGGUGUAAUAACUUCAAUGAACGGGUGUAUGACGGCAUUCAUUACCUGGAUAUAUGAUAAGUAAAGUCGUCAGAUGACUAAGAAUAAUUCCCUUGGAAAACCAAGGACGAACAGAGAUGCCCGACGCAUGUUUGAGUACAAUUCCAAACGCGCGGAUGCCGAUCCAGAGGUUUCAUGGAAUAACCUCGCCGAGAUCGAAGAACGUGGAACCGCAGCGAUGUCCAAUCCCGGUCAUCCACGCCCCCAACGUCAAGAAAGACAAAAACAGCGCUCACAAUCAUGGAGAGAAAAGAAGACGCCCCCAACUCCAGCAGAACAGGCAACGGCGCUUAAAGAGCAAACACUAGUCGCAAGGACUGAAGUUAGUGAACCAGUCGGACUAAUGUAUAACGUCGGCCCUAUUUCCGGAAGCUUCAGAGGACGUUCAGACACAUGCAAGCAGUAGAUGAUAGAUUGGCGAAGAAACUGCCAUAUUCCGCCUUUCUACAUGGAUGUACAACUGCUUUGGCUGCAAAUAUAAUAGAUAUGCAGCAGAAUGAGAACAAGGAGGGUGGUCUUCGAGCUGAAGGAGACGUUGGCGCAUAUUUAGACCAGAUGGUACUUCCUGGUCCCAUACGCGAAUACCUCUCGAACAUAGGAAAGACCAUAACUAGUUCAGGAGAGAUGGUCUCAACAAAUAUUCCCGCUAUAGCCAUACCAAGAGCGGAAGAAAAUGAGACAAGCGGCAGCUUCGGUACUUUGGACGCAAAUACCCAUAAUGUAUACGAAUGCUAUGUCGCCCCACGCGUCACUCGAAGACGAGUUGAAGCCACAUUAGCAAAUGACGCUAACUGGACACCAGUACCCGCUGAUUUACUUCCUGCCAAUUUUGCGGCAAAUCAGAACUUUUUAGGGUUUGGUGAUAUAGACCAGUUAAAUCCAGAUGGUCGGAGUGCAUUGCAGGGGGUUCAAUUCCCACCUGAUGCCAUUAACAUGGGCAUUGAAAGCAGAAUCCAGUUUAGUCCGCAGAUAACUGGGCUAAUUAAUAAAGUACUGGAAGCAAUGGAGUCCAAGUAUAAGAUUGGACCUGCGCGCGUAAGGCGUAAAAUUACCGCUGGAUUUGUUGGUUUCCUUGUAGGAAGGAAUGCAUCGUAGUGAUCAUAAAGGAGGGGAUGAUUUUAUUAUUUUUAACAAACUUGUAAUUUGUCGUGGACGUUUGAGAUUUUCAGGCACAUAAGAGGAGAGAGAGAAAUUUUAAACUGACAGGACACUUGAAGUGAUUUGUUUUUAAAAUAGAAAGAACGAAGCGAACGGACACAAGAACCACAGGGUGGAAUGUCUGGACUAUAUCGAGGGAAGAUAAAGGGAAAGCAAAACGAUGUAUGGCAUGAAUAGACGCUUUUGCCUGAAGGAAAUAGUACAGUCGGAGGAAAAACAAGCGGAAGGAGGAUUGUAAUCAGGGAGACUGGAUGGUAAACAGGACUAGGACCAAUUGGUACGGCUUGAUUAAGAGAUACGAGUCGUAAAUGCAGCAGGAAUUAAUAAAUCCUUGACGAUACAGAUGAGCUAGGAGACCUUGACGAUUGGGGCAAUAAGUAUAGAAUGCUCCGGAUACGGUGUAUAAUUAUGGGAAGGAAGGAGUUCGUAGGACCAGAGCAAGAUGUGUAGAUCGAGGAGGGUAGGAUUGAACUUUGAUGGAAUCCGUGCAGAGAUGUCGAUGAAGCUGCUGGACGAAGGAGAGGAAGGUACAACGCCGAUCGCCAGGUAUAUCGUUGAUUUCCGAUGAUACUCGUUCCUGCAGGGUAAGUGAUCUCUUCUGUUAAUAAACGGUCGAAGCGGGAAUGAUAUGCUUAGGAAUUGAUCGAGGGGGAGGGGAAUAGGAAUUUUAACUCGAUUCAAGGAAUCGAAGGGAACGAAUUUUAUUUUCCUGUAUCUUUUCGUGCCCUCUUUGUUUGUACACGAGAAUUUGUCCAUUGGUUUGUGACCUUCGUGACAUGAGGAAGGUUUCGUGCCUUUUCUUGAUGUCUUCCUGAUUUUGGUUUAAAUGUUUGUUGAAUUAUUGAUCUGGUUGAAGACCGUGGUUUCGAUAACAUGAGUUCAGUGUUAUCGUGCUAACGAUCUGUGAAGGGAAGCAGAUAGGAUGCACGAAUUUAUGUUCAAUUGGUUUUUUAUUCACGGUCUCAUUUUUACUGGUACUGCGGUGUUGAUCCAGACUGAUUAUUAUUGUUGCUGGUUUGUCCUCGGGUCUUAUAGAUCUCAUUCUGAUUUAUUCCGAAAGGAUGUGGUAAUCAGCCUUGCUGACAAGUGUAUAGUUGACAGUAUUAAUUAAAUACUCUUGUGAGAUUGAUUAUACAAUUGUAUAUUGAUACUUUUUGUGGAUAAUAGGGGAUUUUUUUUUAUGGUGUAUGGAUUAUAAAUGUUUAUGGGUUGUUGGAUUCAGGCGUUUUGUGUUGAAGCUAUUUUAAUUUUAUUUUGUUUUGUCUGUGAACUUUACACAUGUGGUUUUCAUUUUGAAUGCAUAUUUGGGCUGUAAUAUUUGGCGGAGGUUCAUCGCUGUGUUUGGAGUACGAUUGACUCCUUUUUUAAUUUCUCUCUUGAUCGCGAUCUGGAUGCUCGUUGGAUGCUGUCUUGGUCGAGUAAGUGGUAAUACCGAUAACAAUUCAGACGAAUUCAAUGUUAUCGUGCUAACUAUUUCUGUGGAAUUGAGUACAGGAACGGGGAUAACACGAUUAAUGAAUUAACUUUCUUCUAAUAAACAUGAGUUUAUACUCAGAUGUGGAGACGCAUUAUUUAUGAUGGUUGACUUGUCGUGGUGUUACUGUUUUUUUUAAUUUUACCCUGCCGGCCCUGGAAGAGGAUGCAAAUGAAAGUAUUCUUGAUGGGCUGGCAAGGUGUACGACGGAUUUCGUCGAUAUGAUUAUUUUCAUGGUAAUCUUUGAUACAUUCAGAACAGUGUAUGUGUCACAU